GGGCGCUCCAGGAGACAGCACUGCAGACGCCAUUAUCCUCUGUUUUCUCUACUGCACCGACCUUGACGUCUUGCCUGUGUCCCAUUUGUUUGCAGCCUAUAGGCUACUUCAGCAUUAGGGCGUCAGUUGUUGGUCCUACCCAGAACAUUUCAGUUCUGCUCUACGACGAUAUAUAAUAACCGAUUGGUGUGUCCAUUUAUAUAAGAAAAUGGAAACGGAACAGCCAGAGGAAACCUUUCCCAACACUGAAACCAAUGGUGAAUUUGGUAAGCGUCCUGCAGAAGAUAUGGAAGAAGAACAAGCAUUUAAAAGGUCUAGAAACACUGACGAGAUGGUUGAAUUACGCAUUCUGCUUCAGAGCAAGAAAGCUGGGGCAGUGAUUAGAAAAGGAGGCAAGAAUAUUAAGGCUCUCCGUACUGACUACAAUGUCAAUGUUUCAGUCCCAGACAGCAGUGGCCCUGAGCACAUAUUGAGUAUCAGUGCUGAUAUUGAAACAAUUGGAGAAAUUCUGAAGAAAAUCAUCCCUACCUUGGAAGAGGGCCUACAGUUGCCAUCACCCACUGCAACCAGCCAGCUCCUGUUCGAAUCUGAUGUUGUGGAAUGCUAAAAUUACCAGCACUAUAAAGGAAAUGACUUUGACUGUGAGUUGAGACUGUUGAUUCAUCAGAGUCUGGCAGGAGGAAUUAUUGGGGUGAAAGGUGCUAAAAUCAAAGAACUUCGAGAGAACACUCAAACAACAAUCAAGCUGUUCCAGGAAUGCUGUCCUCAUUCCACUGACAGAGUCGUUCUUAUUGGAGGAAAACCUGAUAGGGUUGUAGAGUGCAUAAAGAUCAUCCUUGAUCUUAUAUCUGAGUCUCCCAUCAAAGGACGUGCACAGCCUUAUGAUCCCAAUUUUUAUGAUGAAACCUAUGACUAUGGUGGUUUUACAAUGAUGUUUGAUGACCACCGUGGACGGCCUGUGGGAUUCCCAAUGUGAGGAAGAGGUGGUUUUGACAGAAUGCCUCCUGGUGGGGGUGGAUGUCCCAUGCCUCCAUCCGGAAGAGAUUAUGAUGACAUGAGCCCUCGUAGAGGACCACCUCUCCCUCCACCUGGACGAGGUGGCAGCGGGUGGGGGGGAAUAGCAGAGCUCGAAAUCUCCCUCUUCCUCCACCACCACCACCUAGAGGAGGAGAUCUAAUGGCCUAUGACAGAAGAGGAAGACCUGGAGACCCUUACAAUGGAAUGGUUGGUUUCAGUGCUGAUGAAACUUGGGAUUCUGCAAUAGAUACAUGGAGCCAUCAGAAUGGCAGAUGGCUUAUGAACCACAGGGUGGCUCCGGAUAUGAUUAUUCCUAUGCAGGGGGUCGUGGCUCAUAUGGUGAUCUUUGUGGACCUAUUAUUAUUACACAAGUAACUAUUCCCAAAGAUUUGGCUGGAUCUAUUAUUGGCAAAGGUGGUCAGUGGAUUAAACAAAUCCGUUCACGAGUAGGGAGCUUCCAUCAAAAUCGAUGAGCCUUUAGAAGGAUCUGAAGAUAGGAUUAUUACCAUUAUAGGAACACAGGACCAGAUACAGAAUGCACAGUAUUUACUGCAGAACAGUGUGAAGCAGUAUGCAGAUGUUGAAGGAUUCAAAUGCAAGAUAUUUUUUUCUUUUUUAUAGUGUGAAGCAGUAUUCUGGAAAGUUUUUCUAAGAAGAAGAACUGAAGGAGUCCUGCAUCUUUUUUUUUUUUUUUUUAAAUCUGCUUCUGUUUAAAAAGCCAACAUUCCUCUGCUUCAUAGGUGUUCUGCAUUUGAGGUGUAGUGAAAUCUUUUCUGUUCACCAGAUGUAAUGUUUUAGUUCCUUACAAACAGGGUCGGGGGGUGGGAGGGCGUGCAAAAACUAACCUUGAAAUUUUGAAACAGCAGCAAAGUGAGUGAAUUUUAUUUUUUGUUCAUUGUUGGUGGUUUAAAAAAGUUCCCCUCAUGUAAUAAUUGUGAACACCUUGCUUUGUGGUCACUGUAACAUUGGGGGUAGUGGGACAGGGAGGAAAAGUAACAAUAGUCUACAUGUCCCUGGUAUCUGUUCAGAGCAGUGUGCAGAAUGUUAUGCUCGUUUGUAAGAAACGUUUUAUGAUUUUUAAAAUAAAUUUAGUGAACCUAUUUUUGGUGGUCAUUUUUUUUUUAAGGCAGUCAUUCUUCAGAUGGUGGUUGAAUUUCCCAACCCAUCUCCAAACUAAACACUAAGUUUGAUUUUCAGCUCUGUUGGAUAUUAGUGCAUCUCUUCUUGGACAUAGGCAAAAUACCUUGGCAGAUUCAGUUCUGAUGAUUUCUUGAUGGUUUAAAAGUCUACUGCUGGGAAGAAAUUCCAUCAUACAUGUUCAUGCUUAUAAUAAGCUGGGGAUUUUUUUUUUGUUGUUUGUUUGUUGCAAAUGCUUGCCCUUACUUUUCAACAGUUUUCUGUUACUAAUUGUAAAAAAACAAGGUGGGGAGCAGUGGUACAAAUUGAGUACUGAUAUAAGUAUCUACCAGAAGCCUAAUUGGCAACAAGUUUUAUUAAUUAAAAUAACACUUGGUUAUGGAAAUGACUUAUGCUGAACAAAUUCUGAUUAUUUUUAUUAGGUAAUUUCUCACCUAUAGAUUUAAACUGUCAACUUGCUAGGGUCUAUCAGUUAAACUUUUUAAAAUAUAUAUAUAUAUAUAUAUUCUUGUUUUUCUAUUGUAUGCAAAUUGAAAGAAAAAGACGUACCAUUUCUCUGUUGUAUGUUGGAUUAUGUAGGAAAUGUUUGUGUAUAAUUCAAAAAAAUGAAAAAAGUUCCUGUGGAUGUUUUGUGUAGUAUCUUGACAUUUAUAUUGAUAGUUAAAAAUUCACUUCCAAAUAAAAACUCCCAUGAUGCUAGAUUUUGUGUGCCCAAUUUGAACAAGGGUUGAUUGACACCUGUAAAAUUUAUUGAAACCUUCCUCUUAUAAGGAA